CCAGCAGAAAUGUUCUUGUUAAAUUUUCAGACAGACCAGCGGGGCCUCUGAUUGGUCACAGUUAAGCUUCAGUGCUGCUGGCUAACAAAGUUUGUCAUGCCCAAACACCCAAAGUGGUAUUGUGAAAAAAACAAAACCCCAAACACGGGAUUGUACACUCCAAAUCAAGACAGAGGCUACUUGUAUUCCUCCGCAAAUGCCCUUGAUGCAGCUCACACCCACACACAACACACCGGGAUCGAUUUGAAAAUUUAUUUUCAUAUAAAAAAGACACUAUGAAAACAUUAGAGGACUACUUUGUACAAUCUUAUGUAUAAAAAGAACAAAAAUGGAGAAAGGGAUGAGUUUUCAGUAAUAAACCAGGAAUGUUGGAUGGUUGUAGCAGUCGGGUUAACACUGAAGCAUCAGGGUGGAGGGCGAAGGUGAACAUGGGGUGGGGGGGGGGGGGGGUUAAGUUGGCUUGAACAUGGAGUUGAGUUGCAAAUUUUCUCUCCUUAGCUUUGUACUUGUUUGUGUGGGUUGAUUCUUGUAAGACUGACAGGAAGAAAAAUUGAGAUGGCAUUCUGACCGGCAUCUUCUCGUGGUUAAAUAUGCAUCGCAGAAGAGGAAAACGUUGAAGAUUCGAAAUGUUAAGACCCAAGAUGAAUAUCUCAAUCAGACAGGCAGCGUCUCACUUACCGUUUACUCCGAGAAGAAAACUUAAAAGCCAUUCAUCACCGCGCCUGAAGCUGUUCACGCCGCAAUAAACAAAUCGGGGAGGGGGGCUGUAUCAAAACGUCACAUUGUGUGAAAAUCAAACCUGACUAUUGUUGUGGGUUUCUGAUGGGAAGGGGGGGGGGGGUCUACAAAUGAUUGGUGGACUCACAUGGGGGCCUGGCAGACAGUCGCUUUGUUCUGUUGGACACACUGUGCAGUAGAUCUGGAAAAGCAGAGCCUCCUCACAGAAGGUCAGGUGAAUGUGACCUUAGCUCGGCAACUUGGGAUCAAACCUAUCUCGCUCCUCUGAGAGAGGGCGAGCUGUAGGUUUGCUUAUCGGCUGAUUAACUUGAAAGGUUAGGAGGGCCGCGCUCUUGUCUCACCAUCUGCGCUGUGCUGCUCUACUACCACAUUAGGGAUCUUUAAACAGAUGGUUUGAGGGCUGCAUUGGAAAAUGUCAGGACAAAUCGCCAUCCCCGGAUAAUUACUGUUUUUGAGCGCUCCCCUUCCUCGGCAUCUCUGCCUGCCUCUGGCUUUUUUUCUUUUUUGCUGUGUAUAUUUAGAACUUUCCUCCUCGGCUACCAUUUUUCUUCGUUUCUUCACCCAUAAGCUGUCUCUAUUUUUUUUUCUAUCCACACUGUUAGAUUAAUGGCAGCUGCUUUGAACAUAGACAGAAAAGUUAUGGAGCUAUCAUUUGAAUUCAUCCUGCACUCUCUGACACUUUCUCUCUGCUGGUGUGUGGAGGACUGAUGUGCUAAUGUAGCAGCAGCAGAAAACUGGUCGUCCUUUUGUAACCGCUGAAGUACGGAGGUAGAAUGUCAAGCAGAAAACAUCACCAUCGGCUCCUCUUCAGUCUGACACCUUGUAGCCUUAUAACCUGUGAUUCCCUCCCCGUCUUUCUGCAAGCGGGGAAUUACAUAUCUCUGCUCUGCUGCUAGACUUCAUGCCUUCUAGGAGCACGACACUGAGUGGGCAGAGUGAGCAACAGAGGAGCGGCGCUGUAAGCAAAGAAAGGCAUGUUUGUAGAGCUCGUGAUGAAGUCCUCGGAUCGUGUGAUGUCUCAUUACUGGAUUCAAAAUCCUCCUCAGGUCAUUUGAAGCUAACAGAGGUUUUUUGACUGGGGGAAACUGAUCAAUUCUUCACUCUAAAGCAGCACAUUUCUCAGGAUCUCAAAAGCAUUCCUUGUAGGCAGAAGUGCCUGAGAUAUUCUUCUUUUCUGGCUUUACUACGACUGGUGAUGGUUGAAAUGGAGUCAGAUAUUUAAGUCUUAUACUACUCUUUUCUUUAAGCAGCAGAGGGGAAAAGAAGGAGAUGCAUGAAUCUGCAUGAGUCGCAUCCUUUUUUGUUCCCUCUAUUGGGGGCAGUGGGCGGGGGAUCUCACGUGGUGCACAUUAUGUCAGAAAGCAAGCUCACAUUUAUGUGCUGUGUAACUGUUUACAGGAAAUAAAACAAAUAGAUAUAUAAUAAGAAUGAAAAAGCAUCACAAGCACAAACCCAACCAAAUUCUCCAAAUGAAUCGAUUCUUUUUUCAUCAAUGGGACCAUAGAACACAACUCGGUUGGUAGUUAUUUGUUUCAGUCGUGUUAUUUUUCCUGUAGGGGAGGACAUUUGUUUUUUAUUUUGGGGAACCAAACCAUAAAAAAACAUACCGAGUGAAGGAAUGUGAUGUUAACACAAAGAGUGCGAUAGGAACGGGUGAAUAAAAGUGUUGAAAUGAAACCUGAAAAACAGAAGAGAGGAUGGCACAUAUCAUCGAGAGGCUCUGUCCCCACCCUCCACCCCCACCCGCCCCCACAUUCCCUGUCCGUUCAAAUAAGAAAAAAAGAAAAGAAAAAAGGAAUAGAUAAAGACUGACCAAUUUGAUUCUCAAGGGGGAAAGCAAAUUGAGAACAGGGUGCCUUGGAAGGGAGGAGGAGGAGGGGAGGCUACCCAAGUGUGAGAAACCUCAGUGAGAUCUUUUCCCCUUGCUAUAAAACAAAUAUCUCCCACCCCCACCUCAAAGUCAUGAAACAAUUGAAAGAGGUUAUCUUUUUUUAUCUUCUCCAGAAUAAAAUCAAGACAAUUUCUCGGAAAUAAGUUUCUCAUAGUUUUUUUUUCUUUUUUCUUUUAAAGUUCAUUUAAAAAUCUUCUCUUUUUUAAUCAGUCACAGACAUGUCAAGCCCCUGUUCUUUCUUUUCAAUAGUCUUUGCGAAAAUAUAGAGUAGAACAGUCUUCUUUCCAUGUCUGUCCGCUGCAGCAGUAAACAUACACUAUGGGAUCCGACAGAGCACAUCGCAGGAGAUGGGGAGGCGGGGAGUAGUAGAGAGUGUGUGUGAUCCUUGCAGAGAACUCGUGUACCUAUGUAUAGCUUUUCAGUAGUCCGGUGUCUCUGUGUGCAUCUGCACCUCGGCACGAGAGAGCGUGUCUGUUUCAGUGGGUGUCUUCACACGUCUGCGUGCCUUCACACUUCAGUCUGGAAGUCUCCCUCGGAUGAGUCGGGGGUGUUAGCCGAGGACGAGUCCCAGUUUUUAUUGUGCAGUUCCAUCCGGUCCUUCUGCUCCCCGGGCACGAUGGACAGCUCGGGGGUCAUGGUCUUGAAGCUGUCCCAGGAGCUUUGGUCCUCUGGGGUUGACUUGUCCUAAUAGAGAAGAAGGACAAAGAGAGGGGGCAGGAGGACGACCAUGUUAGGAAAAUUCUGAAAACGCUUUCAUGCCGUCUGAUGGAGAAUUACAUUUUACAAGAUAAUAUUAUCCCCAUAUCUUUUCCUAAUUACAGGCUACAACUAGCACUCAUCUGCUUAGUUUAGUGUAAAUAAAGAAAAGAGGAAAAAAGAGGAAAAGGAGGUUGAUGACCAAUGAGUGAUAAGCAACAUGCUUAUCACUCAUAAAAAGGUCUACCGAGUGUAAUUUGUGCAAAAACUGAAGUGUAAAUGUAAUUUCACGAGAGAGAUGUUUUAGCAGAGCACACGCACCACCCUAGGAAGUUCGGUUUCAUUUAACGACCAGAGCAAUAACCGCGUUUCACGAGAUAUCAGAAGUGCAAUAUUUUUCAGCCUGUGUACCCGCUGUAUCUGUGGGUAACACAGUCGUCAUGUAAAAUAAAUGAUCGCCACCAGCACAGGGGAGCGCUGACGUUUGGUUUUACCGGCAAAUAAAAUGAUUUCGAUAAUUAGACUGAACUGUUGAGUUGUUUACCGUCCGUGUGAUCUUGUAACCGCUCUCGUUCCUUGCCAAGUUGGACUUGUAGCGAUUACUCUUGGCCAGUACCAAUCACUGAUGGAUGUAAUCUCACUGCUUGUUUCAUUUUUUUCUCUUUUUUUUUUUUGAUAUAUGUGUAUAUCAACACGAUAACAGCUUCUGGGGCUUCCUGGUGACAGGAUUUACAUUUUUCGUACUUUUUUUCCUAAACUAACAAGCUCAUGCCUUCUGCUUCUGGGUCUGUGAUGCUCUGUUUUUCUCUCGCUGCCAAUUAUAGCAUAUUGGCUUAUCUGUACAUCCAAUGUCUGAAUUUGGAUUUAUGAUUGUGGGACUGAGAUCUGAGCUCAUAAAUCUGGCUCUGAUAUUACAUCACUGACCUUCAACAGCUUCUCCCCCUGCCUUCAUCUAGUCUUCAUUCAGAUUUCAAAGUAAAAAAUACAGCAACAGGGAUAUAUGAUGAGUUUGCCAGUACAAUGUUAGAUACACUCACCAGCCACUUUGUCAAGUACACCUGUUCAACUGCUCAUGAACACAAAUAUCAAACCACACAAUCACAUGGCAGCUAUUCAGCAAUCCGAGACCAUGUCUGCAUGCCUAAAUGCUAUUAAGAUUUUUCUGCAAAAAAAUACUCUGGAUUUACAGAAAACAUUCCAAAAAAGAGAAAAUAUCCAGGAGCAAAAAUGCCUUGUUGAUACCAGAGGACACAGGAGAAUGGUGAGGAUCCUUUGAGUUGAUAGGAAGGCAACAGUAACUCUCAUAACUGCCCGUUACAAAUGUGCAAAAGAGCCUUGCUGAAUGCACAUUAUGUUGUGCACCUUGAUACAGACGGGGAUACAGCAGCAGAAGCUCACUCCUGUUAGCUAACAUCAGGAAACUGAGGCUACAAUUUGCAUGUAAUCACUAAAAUUGGACAACAGAAGAUAGGAAAAUCAUUGCCAAGUCUGAAUUGUUUCUUUGUCAAUUUCUGCUUCUGAUAUUUGGACGGUCGGGUCAGAAUUUGGUGUAAACAGCAUGAAUCCAUACUGCCCUGUAUCAUCUCACUGAUUGUGGUGUAAUAUUGGAGGGGAUAUUUUGCAUCACUGAAACAUCACAGUAUAUUUGAGUAUAGUUGCUGACCGUGUCAGUCCCUUUAUGAACACAGUGUACUCAUCUUCUGAUGGCUGCAUCCAGCAGGAUAACGCACCAGGUCACAAAGCUCAGAUCAUCUCAAACUGGCUUCUUCAACAUGACAGUGAGUUCAUUGUAGUCACUGGCCUCCACAGUCAGCAGAUCUCAAUCAAUUAGAGCAUCUUUGGGAUGUGGUUGAACAAUAGAUUCACAUCAUUGGUGUGUGCCUGACAGAGCAGAUCUGCAGCAACUGUGUGAUGCUAUCAUGUCAACAUGGACCAAAAUCUCUGAGGAAUGUUUCCAGCACCUUGUUGAAUCUAUGCUAUGAAGAAUUAAGGCAGUCCAGUCGGCAACACAGUAUGUGCAAGGUGUACCUAAUAAAGUGUCUGGUGAGCAUAAUUAAAUCAAAGAAAUACGAAUAAUAGGAAUACGAAAAUCGGGAAAAUGUUUCAAAAAAAUCCUGUAAAAACAAUUCAAUGGGAACAUUUUUAGCCUGCAGGGAGUUUUGGAGACGGAUACACCGCAACAUUCAACAAAUCAACAAACAAAUUUCUUAGCACUGCACUUACAGGGUUGUAACAGUGCACUAAAUUAGCAUUUCCAUAUGAACCUUGAUUUCCAAGUUUUGGGUAUGGGUAAGUUGCACAGAUAAAAAAAAAACCCUAUAUAUAUAUAUAUAUAUAUUUUGUCCAUUUCAAGUCUCACUGUAAAGAUUCUUGCACUGAUUGUUGCAUAUUACCAUCAACAGAAGACAGAGACAUUUACUCUCAAGUGAAGAUUAAGGAACGUGGACAAGAUUUCAGUCGUUACCUAUCAAAAAUGCUACCUCUGCUACCUCUGAUGUGUGCCAUUUCUGCAAAUGGCACACAUCUUCUGUCUCCUAACUCUCUAAACCAGAAAUAAACUCACAAAAAGCAUGAAAGCUUUUCAGCACGGGGUCUGUGAUGGAAGCGUGCGGCCUGCAGAUGAGCCCGCCAUGCAUGUAAAAUACAUGUCGGGGGAUUAGCCAAAAAAUGGAAUUAGAGGAGGUGGCAUUAUUCAUCAGAUAAGGGCCAUUAUUCAAAUUGGACUCGUUAUCUCCCAGCAAUCUCACACAGUGAUUUCACAGACACAAACGGGGAAAGACACCAGGGAUCGCUGGAACAAAUGACUCUUGGUGGAGCAAAAACAUACAAAGACAAAAGAACAAGGUGGACCACUUGUGAUGCUUUCCAGACACAAUGAAUCCAGCUGCUUUGUUCUUACUGAGCUGGAAAUUCAUCUUCUAAAAUAAUCAUUCAGAAGAUGAAUAUUUAAAGUAUUUUCACUGGUCAUCUUGAGAGUAGAUGCCCGUCUGGACAUAUAAUUAAGAAGAGAGAGAGCUCUACCGUUUCUGUUCUUCAUCACCACCUCCCAGUAGCUCUCUUGCAGCUUUCACUUUUUUGUUUUGUUUUCCACAAUCUUACCUUUGCUUUAUUUCAGAAACUCCUCUGAAGUACUCACAUAUAACUCAUUUUGAGUUAUUCACACCCUCAGUCCCUGUCUGUCUCCACACACA
ensembl:lncRNA